AUCAGGAGACGCGUGUCAAAUUGGUUGAUACGUGUCCAGUUACUAAAACUUCAGUUUAUUAAAAUAUUUAAUUUCCUAUACUCUCUUUUCUCUACCCACUGUCUCUCACCUCUGUGAAUCUCUCUCCUCUCAAUCGCUCUCUCUCAAAAUCUCUCCCUCACCAUCUCUCUUCACUCUCCUUCAUCUCUCUUUCCCGCCGCUCUCUCUCUCGGCUUUCCCUCUCCCUCGGUCGUCUCUCCCCGUCGACCCUCUCUCCAUGCCGCCUCUCUCCCCGAACAACACCGCCCGUCGCCGCCUCCUUUUCCGGCCGUUCAGCCGCCGCCGCCGGCCGAUCGAGCAUUGAGGGCGUGAUACCAAGCAAAGGCAAGAAAAGGUGAGAGUUGUAUAGCGGUUCAGUAGUUACGGAUUGUUCGAGACGAGUAGAACCAGACGUUGGGGAUCAAGACUGAAGUUAGAUAAGAUGUCGUAUCAUGCUGCAGCAACCGCAUGAGCACCAUAGCAGAGAAUCAGGAAUAGUUGAGGGUGAUGUCUUGAGAAAGCAUAUUAAGAUAAGGAUGUUAGCUAAGAGUGUAUAAGCUAAGGACCAAAGAUAAUGUUAAAGAUGGUUCGCCUAUUUAGGCUAAGCAUAAGAGUAAAGCUAGGCGAGGAUUUCAAGCGACUAAGUUUCAACCUGAUGGUCAGAAAGAGUAUCCAAGAUCGAGUCCUUGGGACUAGUGGAUCGAGCAUUGAGGGCGUGAUACCAAGCAAAGGCAAGAAAAGGUGAGAGUUGUAUAGCGGUUCAGUAGUUACGGAUUGUUCGAGACGAGUAGAACCAGACGUUGGGGAUCAAGACUGAAGUUAGAUAAGAUGUCGUAUCAUGCUGCAGCAACCGCAUGAGCACCAUAGCAGAGAAUCAGGAAUAGUUGAGGGUGAUGUCUUGAGAAAGCAUAUUAAGAUAAGGAUGUUAGCUAAGAGUGUAUAAGCUAAGGACCAAAGAUAAUGUUAAAGAUGGUUCGCCUAUUUAGGCUAAGCAUAAGAGUAAAGCUAGGCGAGGAUUUCAAGCGACUAAGUUUCAACCUGAUGGUCAGGAAGAGUAUCCAAGAUCGAGUCCUUGGGACUAGUGAUUGAAGAUUAAAGGGUGUAUAAACUGGCGGAGGAAUUAGAACUGUUUCCUGUUUUACAGGAGUAGAGGGUUUUAUAGAUUGCUGUAUUUUUUCUAGCAUUGUAUUAGUAUUAUUCUCUACUCUAGUUAAUUGUUUCCCUAGAGUAUGCAAAUGCAUAUUUGAGAAAUUAUUUUGAGAUAAUAUUUUCUCAUGAGUGGUAUUUUCUGUAAAUGUCUCAGAUAUAGCAUGAGCAGUUACAGGGUUUCCAUUCAUUGUAGUUAAAAAUAUUUUAUUCUCUA